rnacentral:ncRNA from 1 species
UUCAGGUGCUCGUAACAGAGCCUAACAGGGAACCCCGUGUAAAUCGGGGACGGGCCCGCCGCUGUGACCCCUCCUUUUUCCGGUCGAUUAGGGAAAAGGAACUCUUUCAGCCUGUAGUAUAACCACUGUCCGGAUAAAGGAUGGGAAGGUUGCUGAAGGGGAGGGGAAGUCAGAAGACCUGCCUGAACGUA